GGCGAGGACUUCAAAGUUUAUAACUAAUAAACCAUCGAAAUUGGAUAAAUCUGAUAACCCAUGAGUAACUAUGUAAGAAUCUGUUUCUAUAAUGAUUAAAAAAAAAAAAUUGUUCACGGAAAACCCCCUUCGAGUGCCUUUGCCAUUUCACAAAUUUGUCAAUUUCAUUAACACCUGUUAUAAUAUUUUGAUCAAUCAGUGAGCUGAUAAAGGUUAUGAACAUUAAAAUCAACCAAUCAUCUUCUGAGAUCAUCGGCAACAACACGUUGAUUAAUUUUUUUUAUA
rnacentral:lncRNA from 1 species